AGUGAACGCUGGCGGUAGGCCUAACACAUGCAAGUCGAACGGCAGCACAGUAAGAGCUUGCUCUUACGGGUGGCGAGUGGCGGACGGGUGAGGAAUACAUCGGAAUCUACUUUUUCGUGGGGGAUAACGUAGGGAAACUUACGCUAAUACCGCAUACGACCUACGGGUGAAAGCAGGGGAUCUUCGGACCUUGCGCGAUUGAAUGAGCCGAUGUCGGAUUAGCUAGUUGGCGGGGUAAAGGCCCACCAAGGCGACGAUCCGUAGCUGGUCUGAGAGGAUGAUCAGCCACACUGGAACUGAGACACGGUCCAGACUCCUACGGGAGGCAGCAGUGGGGGAUAUUGGACAAUGGGCGCAAGCCUGAUCCAGCCAUACCGCGUGGGUGAAGAAGGCCUUCGGGUUGUAAAGCCCUUUUGUUGGGAAAGAAAAGCAGCGGGUUAAUACCCCGCUGUUCUGACGGUACCCAAAGAAUAAGCACCGGCUAACUUCGUG
rnacentral:rRNA from 1 species